rnacentral:rRNA from 1 species
CGAAAUCUUCCCGUCUCUCUGUCCCUGGUCCGUCCACUUCGCCGGCGCGCCCCUAUCAUUUCCGGGUAAUCACACAAACAAAAGCCUCUGCGUUUCCCACCCCAGCACCGUCCCACCUUCCCUCCAGCACGAACGCACGCGGCCGGCCCGCACGCGCCCACAGCGUUUCGUUUCAGUUCCUCCGCGGCUCCGCCUUCCCCUCCCCCACGCCAGCGUCGCACGGAGGAUUUUCAAUUUUUCAAACCACUUCCAAAACUCCCCAUCCACCACCACGCCCACCCCAGAUCUAACCCUAAACCCAAAUGCCGCUAUGACCACGCCGCGCGCCACCGCCACGCGCCGCGUGGGGUCGGCCGCCGCCGCCGCCCAGGCGGCGGCCGGCGAGCCCUACAACAUCCUGCCCAUCCACGACCUCCUCGCCGAGCACCCGUCGCUGCGCUUCCCGGAGGUGCGGGCCGCCGCCGCCGCGCUCCGGGCCGUGGGGGGCCUCCGCCCGCCGCCCUACUCGCAGUGGCGCGCCGACCAGGACCUCAUGGACUGGCUCGGCGCCUUCUUCGGCUUCCAGCGGGACAACGUGCGCAACCAGCGCGAGCACCUCGUGCUCCUGCUCGCCAACGCGCAGAUGCGCCUCUCCUCCGCCGACUUCUCCGACACCCUCGAGCCCCGCAUCGCGCGCUCCCUCCGCCGGAAGCUCCUCCGCAACUACACCUCCUGGUGCGGCUUCCUCGGCCGCCGCCCCAACGUCUACGUCCCCGACGCCGACCCCCGCGCCGAUUUGCUCUUCGCCGGCCUCCACCUCCUCGUCUGGGGCGAGGCCGCCAACCUCCGCUUCGUGCCCGAGUGCAUCUGCUACAUCUACCACCACAUGGCUCUCGAGCUGCACCGGAUCCUCGAGGGCUACAUCGACACCACCACGGGCCAGCCCGCCAACCCCGCCGUGCACGGCGAGAACGCCUUCCUCGCCCGCGUCGUCACGCCCAUCUACGGUGUCAUCCGCUCUGAGGUCGAGUCCAGCCGCAACGGCACAGCUCCCCAUGCCGCCUGGCGGAACUACGACGACAUCAACGAGUACUUCUGGCGCCGUGAUGUCUUCGACCGUCUCGGCUGGCCCAUGGAGCAGUCCCGGCAAUUCUUCCGGACGCCACCCGAGCACGGCCGUGUGCGAAAGACGGGCUUUGUGGAGGUCCGCUCGUUCUGGAACAUUUACCGGAGCUUCGACAGGCUGUGGGUCAUGCUGGUGCUCUACUUGCAGGCCGCAGCCAUUGUCGCGUGGGAUGGUGAGACUUGGCCGUGGCAGAAUCUUCGGGGAAACCAGCACCGUGAAGCCCAGGUGCGAGUGCUCACCGUCUUCAUCACCUGGGCGGCACUACGCCUCCUGCAGUCGCUGCUGGACAUCGGCACACAGUUACGCCGUGCGUUCAGGGAUGGACGCAUGCUUGCAGUGCGCAUGGUGCUCAAGGCCAUUGUGGCAGCUGCGUGGGUUGUUGUAUUUGCUGUGCUGUACAAGGGAAUCUGGAGCCAGAGGGACAGUGAUCGUGGCUGGUCGCGGGGGACCGAUUCUCGAAUCAUGAAGUUCUUGUAUGCAGUGGCAGCGUUUCUGAUCCCCGAGGUCCUUGCCAUCGUGCUCUUCAUUAUUCCUUGGGUGCGGAAUGCAUUGGAGAAGACAAAUUGGAAGAUCUGCUAUGCCCUCACCUGGUGGUUUCAGAGCCGCAGCUUCGUUGGCCGCGGGCUUCGUGAGGGUACCUUUGACAAUGUGAAAUAUUCUAUUUUCUGGGUGCUUCUGCUUGCUGUGAAGUUUGCCUUUAGCUAUUUCCUCCAGAUCAGGCCACUUGUAAAACCUACAAAAGAGAUAUACAGGCUGAGUAAGGUCACAUAUGCUUGGCAUGAGUUCUUUGGGCAGAGCAACCGAUUUGCUGUCUUUAUAUUGUGGUUGCCGGUAGUUUUGAUCUACCUCAUGGAUAUCCAGAUCUGGUAUGCAAUCUUCUCUUCCAUGGCCGGUGCAUUUGUGGGGCUGUUUGCACACUUGGGGGAGAUCCGGGACAUGAAACAACUGAGGCUGCGGUUCCAGUUCUUUGCAAGUGCCAUGUCAUUCAACAUCAUGCCAGAGGAGCAACAUGUGAAUGAGCGCACUUUCUUGCCCAACCGGCUUCGGAAUUUCUGGCAGCGACUGCAGCUACGGUAUGGGUUCAGCCGAUCGUUCCGUAAGAUCGAGUCAAAUCAGGUAGAAGCACGGCGGUUUGCACUUAUUUGGAAUGAGAUUAUCACCAAGUUCAGGGAGGAGGAUAUUGUAAGUGAUCUUGAAGUUGAGCUCCUCGAGCUACCACCUGAGCUGUGGAAUGUGCGUGUGAUCCGUUGGCCGUGCUUCUUGCUUUGUAAUGAGCUGUCACUGGCACUUGGGCAGGCAAAGGAGGUCCAAGGACCUGAUCGCAGGCUCUGGAGGAAAAUCUGCAAGAAUGAUUAUCGUCGUUGUGCGGUCAUUGAGGUGUAUGAUAGUACCAAAUACAUGCUGCUAGAGAUCAUCAAGGAAAGGACAGAGGAACAUGGCAUUGUGACGCAAUUGUUUCGCGAGUUCGAUGAAUCCAUGAAUUUGGAUAAGUUCACUGUGGAGUAUAAGAUGUCUGUGCUGCAAAACGUCCAUGCAAAGCUUGUAGCACUGCUAAGCCUACUUCUCAAGCCCAACAAGGAUAUCACAAAGAUUGUCAAUGCUCUUCAGACUCUCUAUGAUGUUGUGAUUCGUGACUUCCAGGCUGAGAAAAGGAGCAUGGAACAGCUGAGGAACGAAGGCCUGGCACAAUCAAGGCCAACCAGCCUUCUCUUUGUGGACACUGUCGUGUUGCCUGAUGAGGAGAAUGCCACCUUCUAUAAGCAGGUGCGGCGCAUGCACACCAUCCUGACCUCACGUGACUCUAUGGUCAAUGUCCCAAAGAACCUUGAAGCUCGGCGGAGGAUUGCUUUUUUCAGCAAUUCAUUGUUCAUGAACAUACCACGGGCAACCCAGGUGGAGAAGAUGAUGGCCUUCAGUGUCUUGACACCAUAUUAUAACGAAGAGGUGUUGUACAACAAGGACCAGCUCUACAAGGAGAAUGAAGAUGGCAUAUCAAUACUAUACUAUCUGAAACAGAUCUACCCAGAUGAGUGGGAGUUCUUUGUUGAGCGCAUGAAGCGUGAGGGGAUGUCUGAUAUGAAGGAGCUGUACAGUGAGAAGCAAAGGUUAAGAGAUCUUCGGCACUGGGUCUCAUACAGGGGACAGACACUAUCACGUACUGUGAGGGGGAUGAUGUACUAUUAUGAUGCUCUCAAGAUGCUGACCUUUCUGGAUUCUGCCUCUGAACAUGACUUAAGAACUGGAUCGAGGGAGCUUGCUACAAUGGGUUCCUCAAGAUUUGGAUCCUCCAGAAGAGAAGGGAGUGCUGGUGGGUCAGGGUAUUAUAGCAGGGCCUCUUCGUCACACACACUGAGCAGAGCAACCAGUGGUGUGAGCGCUUUGUUUAAAGGUAGCGAGUAUGGGACUGUCCUUAUGAAAUACACUUAUGUGGUUGCAUGCCAAAUUUAUGGCCAGCAGAAAGCUAAAAAUGAUCCGCAUGCUUAUGAGAUAUUGGAGCUAAUGAAGAAUUAUGAAGCACUUCGUGUUGCCUAUGUUGACGAAAAACACUCGGCUGGUGCCGAACCGGAGUACUUCUCCGUCCUUGUGAAAUACGACCAGCAGUUGCAGAAAGAGGUUGAAAUUUAUCGAGUGAAGUUGCCUGGGCCACUGAAGCUUGGUGAAGGCAAGCCAGAGAACCAGAAUCAUGCACUCAUCUUCACAAGGGGUGAUGCGGUUCAAACUAUUGAUAUGAACCAAGACAAUUACUUUGAAGAGGCUCUGAAGAUGAGAAAUCUGCUAGAAGAGUUCAAUCGCCAUUAUGGAAUUCGCAAGCCAAAAAUCCUUGGGGUUCGGGAACAUGUGUUCACUGGCUCUGUAUCUUCUCUAGCUUGGUUUAUGUCUGCCCAAGAAACAAGUUUUGUCACUCUGGGGCAGCGGGUUCUAGCUAACCCACUCAAGGUUAGAAUGCAUUAUGGCCACCCAGAUGUGUUUGAUCGUCUUUGGUUCUUGGGCCGAGGUGGUAUUAGUAAAGCAUCAAGAGUAAUCAACAUCAGUGAGGAUAUCUUUGCUGGAUUCAAUUGUACCCUCCGUGGGGGCAAUGUUACACACCAUGAGUACAUCCAGGUUGGUAAAGGAAGGGAUGUGGGGCUCAACCAGGUUUCUAUGUUUGAAGCCAAGGUUGCUAGUGGCAAUGGUGAGCAAACUCUGAGCCGUGAUGUUUACAGACUGGGCCACAGAUUGGAUUUCUUUCGGAUGCUCUCGUUUUUUUAUACAACCAUUGGAUUCUAUUUCAACACAAUGAUGGUUGUGCUAACUGUCUAUGCAUUUGUCUGGGGGCGAUUUUAUCUUGCACUUAGUGGGCUGGAGGAGUACAUCACCAAGAACACUAGCACUACUAAUAAUGCAGCCCUGGGAGCUGUCUUGAAUCAGCAGUUCGUCAUACAGCUGGGCCUGUUCACAGCAUUGCCCAUGAUUAUUGAAAAUUCACUUGAGCAUGGUUUCCUCAAUGCUGUAUGGGAUUUCUUAAAAAUGCAAUUGCAGUUUGCAUCUGUUUUCUACACCUUCUCCAUGGGAACCAAGACACAUUAUUAUGGGCGGACAAUCCUUCAUGGAGGUGCAAAGUAUCGAGCUACUGGCCGUGGAUUUGUUGUGGAGCACAAGAAAUUCGCCGAGAACUACAGGCUAUAUGCCCGUAGCCAUUUUCUAAAAGCAAUAGAGCUUGGCGUGAUAUUGGUUCUCUAUGCAUCUUACAGCAGCAGCGCUGGGAAUACAUUUGUGUACAUCCUGCUGACGCUUUCCAGUUGGUUUUUAGUAUCCUCGUGGAUUUUGGCCCCCUUCAUCUUUAAUCCAUCAGGUUUGGACUGGCUAAAGAAUUUUAAUGAUUUUGAGGAUUUCCUAAGCUGGAUUUGGUUCCAGGGUGGAAUCUCAGUGAAGUCAGAUCAAAGCUGGGAAAAGUGGUGGGAGGAGGAAACUGAUCACCUUAGGACCUCUGGUCUGUGGGGGAGCAUCUUGGAAAUCAUUAUAGACCUCCGAUAUUUCUUCUUUCAGUAUGCAAUUGUUUACCGGCUUCACAUUGCCAAUGAGAGUAGAAGCAUCCUUGUCUAUCUUCUUUCAUGGACAUGCAUACUGCUGGCUUUUGUGGCUCUUGUCGCAGUUGCUUACUUCCGAGACAGAUACGCAGCAAAGAAGCACAUAAGGUAUCGGCUUGUCCAAGCUGUAAUUGUUGGUGCCACUGUGACUGGUAUUGUCCUGUUGAUAGAAUUCACAAAUUUCCAGUUCAUUGAUGCCUUUACUAGUCUCUUGGCUUUUCUGCCAACUGGCUGGGGAAUCAUAUCUAUUGCUCUGGUGUUCAAGCCAUACCUGAGGAGGUCUGAGACAGUCUGGAAAACUAUUGUCACAGUGGCACGCCUGUAUGAUAUACUGUUUGGAGUAAUUGUUAUGACACCUGUAGCUGUGUUGUCAUGGUUGCCGGGGCUCCAGGAAAUGCAAACAAGGAUCCUAUUCAAUGAAGCCUUCAGCCGAGGACUUCAUAUUUCUCAAAUGUUUACUGGCAAAAAAGGACAUGGAGUUUAAGCUCAACCCAUUUUCAUUUCUCAAAGUGAUCUGCUUCAUUAUUCUGGAGGGUGCAGUUCUUCUCAGUGAUAUACGGUUCACAGAGGCUUCUGGUUUAGAGUAGAUGGAUGCUAGUUUCUGUACAGGCGACAUCUUUACCUUGAUUCUUUGUAACUUGAUGUACACAUGGAUUUCCGUAGUAGAAAUGAUGCAAUCAAACUUAAUGAGUCGUCGAUUCGGCUCAUAUUCAUGGUUUGAGAUUUUGCUAGUUUUGUAGUGAAACAGAGCUGUACAAACUUUAUCCUGAAUGGACCUCUCGUGCCAGACAUUUCUUUGGGUGCUGCCAUAUUUUUGUUGUAAAGCUGGGAAUCGCUGUUCCUGCUUUUACCUGCACAUACAUCUACAUUGUGGGAGAUUGUAAUCUUGUACACCAAUUGUUAUCGGAAAUGUCAUCGGCUGGGUCUUCCCGGUGGCGCUGCUGUCUGAUCCAUAUUGGGAUGUACUACUUCUCAUGUCAAUCAUUGUGUCUG